rnacentral:tRNA from 1 species
UCCCGGGUAGCUCAGUGGUAUAGCAUCUGCCUGCCAAGUAGGAGACACUGGUUCGAUUUCUGGGUUGGGAA